rnacentral:miRNA from 1 species
AUAGGAAUAACCUGGGAAUCUUGUUAAACUGAAGGUUCUGAUUGAAGAAAUUUGGGGUAGGACCUAAGAUUCUGCAUUUGUAACAGGAUAUCUGGUGAUGUCCAU